GAUGAACGCUAGCGGCAGGCCUAAUACGUGCAAGUCGGACGGGAUUUGGGAGCUUGCUCCCAAUGAGAGUGGCGCACGGGUGCGUAACACGUAUGUAACCUACCUUAAUCAGGGGGAUAGCCUCUCGAAAGAGAGAUUAACACCGCAUAACAUAUUUUUAUGGCAUCGUAGAAAUAUCAAAUAUUUAUAGGAUUAAGAUGGGCAUGCGGAACAUUAGCUAGUUGGUAAGGUAGCGGCUUACCAAGGCUACGAUGUUUAGGGGAUCUGAGAGGAAGACCCCCCACACUGGUACGGAGACACGGACCAGACUCCUACGGGAGGCAGCAGUAAGGAAUAUUGUUCAAUGGGCGCAAGCCUGAACCAGCCAUGCCGCGUGCAGGAAGACGGCCCUAUGGGUUGUAAACUGCUUUUGUACCGGAAUAAACCCUUUUACGUGUAAAAGGCUGAAUGUACGGUAAGAAUAAGGAUCGGCUAACUCCGUGCCAGCAGCCGCGGUAA
rnacentral:rRNA from 1 species